rnacentral:rRNA from 1 species
UACGUAGGGUCCGAGCGUUGUCCGGAAUUAUUGGGCGUAAAGGGCUCGUAGGCGGUCUGUUGCGUCGGGAGUGAAAACUUACAGCUUAACUGUGAGCGUGCUUUCGAUACGGGCAGACUUGAGGCAUUCAGGGGAGAACGGAAUUCCUGGUGUAGCGGUGAAAUGCGCAGAUAUCAGGAGGAACACCGGUGGCGAAGGCGGUUCUCUGGGAAUGUCCUGACGUGAGGAGCGAAAGUGUGGGGGAGCGAACAGG